AUUGAACGCUGGCGGCAUGCCUUACACAUGCAAGUCGAACGGCAGCGCGGGAGCAAUCCUGGCGGCGAGUGGCGAACGGGUGAGUAAUACAUCGGAACGUGCCCAAUCGUGGGGGAUAACGCAGCGAAAGCUGUGCUAAUACCGCAUACGAUCUACGGAUGAAAGCAGGGGAUCGCAAGAACUUUCGCGCAUGUAGCGGCCGAUGGCAGAUUAGGUAGUUGGUGAGGUAAAGGCUCACCAAGCCUUCGAUCUGUAGCUGGUCUGAGAGGACGACCAGCCACACUGGGACUGAGACACGGCCCAGACUCCUACGGGAGGCAGCAGUGGGGAAUUUUGGAAAAUGGGCGAAAGCCUGAUCCAGCCAUGCCGCGUGCAGGAUGAAGGCCUUCGGGUUGUAUACUGCUUUUGUACGGAACGAAACGGUCUUUUCUAAUAAAGAAGGCUAAUGACGGUACCGUAAGAAUAAGCACCGGCUAACUACGUG
rnacentral:rRNA from 1 species